rnacentral:rRNA from 1 species
UGGGGAAUCUUGCGCAAUGGGCGAAAGCCUGACGCAGCAACGCCGCGUGGAGGAUGAAGGCCCUUGGGUUGUAAACUCCUGUCGGCUGGGAAGAACUCGUUCGCGGCUAAUACCCGCGGACGUUGACUGUACCAGCAAAGGAAGCCCCGGCUAACUCUGUGCCAGCAGCCGCGGUAAUACAGAGGGGGCCAGCGUUAUUCGGAAUUAUUGGGCGUAAAGGGCGCGUAGGCGGCCAUGCGUGUCUUCCGUGAAAUCCCUCGGCUCAACCGAGGACGUGCGGAAGAAACUGCAAGGCUCGAGUCCGGAAGAGGGGGGCGGAAUUCCCAGUGUAGCGGUGAAAUGCGUAGAUAUUGGGAGGAACACCAGUGGCGAAGGCGGUCCCCUGGGCCGGAACUGACGCUGAGGCGCGAAAGCGUGGGUAGCAAACGGGAUUAGAUACCCCGGUAGUCCACGCCGUAAACGAUGGGCACUUGGUGUCGCGGGUAUCGACCCCUGCGGUGCCGAAGCUAACGCAUUAAGUGCCCCGCCUGAGGAGUACGGUCGCAAGGCUGA